rnacentral:rRNA from 1 species
GAUGAACGCUGACAGAAUGCUUAACACAUGCAAGUCAACUUGAAUUUGGGUUUUUUAACUUAGAUUUGGGUGGCGGACGGGUGAGUAACGCGUAAAGAACUUGUCUCACAGCUAGGGACAACAUUUGGAAACGAAUGCUAAUACCUGAUAUUAUGAUUAUAAGGCAUCUUAGAAUUAUGAAAGCUAUAUGCGCUGUGAGAGAGCUUUGCGUCCCAUUAGCUAGUUGGAGAGGUAACGGCUCACCAAGGCGAUGAUGGGUAACCGGCCUGAGAGGGUGAACGGCCACAAGGGGACUGGGACACGGCCCUUACUCCUACGGGAGGCAGCAGUGGGGAAUAUUGGACAAUGGACCAAGAGUCUGAUCCAGCAAUUCUGUGUGCACGAUGACGUUUUUCGGAAUGUAAAGUGCUUUCAGUUGGGAAGAAAAAAAUGACGGUACCAACAGAAGAAGUGACGGCUAAAUACGUG